GGCCCUAAAUAACCCAUUCUUCUUCCUCCUCCUCUUCUGUAAGGACCCCGUCUGCACCGCCCUUGAGGCUGCCGAUGGCAGGGCCAACUUCAAAGAUGACGUUUGGUCCAGGCCCAGCGGCGGUGGCGGCAUCAGCAGGGUUCUCCAGGACGGGGCCAUUUGGGAGAAGGCUGGAGUUAAUGUCUCCAUUGUUUACGGCAUCAUGCCGCCAGAAGCUUACCGCGCUGCAAAAGCUACCGCUUCUCCUGACCAGAAGCCUGGUCCUAUCCCGUUCUUCGCCGCUGGAAUCAGCUCCGUUUUGCAUCUGAAGAACCCAUUUGCCCCAACCUUGCAGAUUAUGAUUUUUCAUCCUUAUUUCGGAGCUGUUUCUUAUACCAUUAUUGCUACUGUUGUCUACCAAUGACUUAUACUCAGGUUGGGGAAGCAAAUAUUCAAGAAAGGCUAGAUAGAGCAGUGGCAAUAAUAAAUUGGAAGGAAGCAUUCCUAGAAAGAGUGGUAAAGCAUUUUCAAAGAUACAGAUCAGACCAUUGUCCAAUCCUAAUCGAUGUUUAUGGGGAGAGCUUAAAAAGAAAGAGGCCAUAUAUUUUCAGAUUCAAAGAAUGUGGCUUAGAGACUCUGAAUGCAAAGAGAUUAUCAAAAGAAGCUGGGCUGUGAACUAUGAUCAGAUUGAAGAGAAACUAGGAAAGUGCAGCAAAGCAUUGCAAGAAUGGAGACUGAGUUGGAGAACUUCUUUGGAAAGAAUCCGUUGGAAUCAAAAGAUAUAUCCAGAAUUGUAAAUCACAACCACUUUACUAUUGAAUGUUCCACAUGAUUCUCUGAUCAUGGGUGAGGAGAUAUUUGGUCCAUCGCUUCCCAUCAUCACGGUGAAUAAAUUGGAAGAAAGUUUUGAUCUGAUCAAUUUAGGAACAAAGCCUCUGGCUGCAUAUAUAUUUACAAAUAACAAGAAGCUGAAAGAGCAGUUUGUGAAGAAUGUUUCUGCAGGGGGAUGCUUGUCAAUGACAUUGCCUUACAUCUUAUUGUUCCAUCUCACUCACAAAUUGAAGGAACAAUUCUGAAUUUGAAAAAGGCACAGGCAGACUUAGACAAAUUCUUCUAUUAAGAAGAGAUUAAAUGGGCCCAAAGAUCUUGUGUGAACUUGUUGAAAGCGGAGAAUAAGAACACUCGAUUUUUUCAUCAGCAGGCAUCUCAACAAAGGAAUAAAACUGAAAGAAUCACUGAUGACGAAUGAAAUCUCUAUAAAAAAGACAAGAAACAGAGUAUAUGGUUCUCCCUCUUCGACAACAAAUGCACACCGGAACCUUCUCAGUCUGGAUGGUGGUUUUUUUGGAGGGAGAACCAGAGUAUUCCUGCGUUUGAUCUUUGGUCUUCCUUAGGGUUUAAUGUAAUUUUGUAAAAACUUUGUGGGUGUAAUAGACAUUGUACACAAGGAAAGGGAUGAGAGUGUAUAUAAGGGGCAGCACACAAAACGACGUCGUUUUGAGUGACAGGGACUUAUGUGUCCCUUUUUCAAAAGCUCCAUCCCACUAACGUGCCACGUGGGAACGCCGUUAAGCCAGGUAAGCAGAGGGGGAGCCAGGUCAGCCUUUUCCGUCAGGUCUGACGGUGGCUUAUGGACAGAAUGACUGAUCCGUCUAAUUUUUAGGGACGUCAGGGACUUAAAAGUAUUUUCCAAUGGUCAUGGACGAAAAUAUCCGCGGGUUAAAAGGUCAGGGACUAAUUUAUCCUUUUCUCAAAAAUUAAUUUACCAACUUACAUAUAUU